rnacentral:rRNA from 1 species
AUGCUUGGGCUACGUCACUGGGUCGUGACGGUGCCGGAGGACGAGAACGGCGAGGCCGGGUGCCGCGGCACCGCCUUGGCCGCGGUCAGUGAAGGGGGCGAAGAAGGGCGGCUUCCCUGGCCCUGGGAGUUGGUGCGGUGGAAGCGGCACUUGAAGGACCCGGCGUGGGUGGCCGGCGCGCAGACGCACUUGGAAGCGAGCCACAUCCUUCGCGUAUUCUUGGAGCUGUGGCUAGCCGAUUUACAUGAAAUUAAUUUCCUCAGUUGUGGUGGCAAAUAUAAUACACAUAAUCCAUAUUGUUAUGCACUAGCGUGUGUGUGA